rnacentral:antisense_RNA from 1 species
UGUGGGAGCUGGCUUGCCUGCGAUAGCGGUGGGUCAGUUACCCCAUUCUUUUCUGACUCACCGCUAUCGCAGGCAAGCCAGCUCCCACC